rnacentral:rRNA from 1 species
AAAAUGCAAGUCGAGCGAAUCGAUGGGAGCUUGCUCCCUGAGAUUAGCGGCGGACGGGUGAGUAACACGUGGGCAACCUGCCUAUAAGACUGGGAUAACUUCGGGAAACCGGAGCUAAUACCGGAUACGUUCUUUUCUCGCAUGAGAGAAGAUGGAAAGACGGUUUCGGCU